GUUUACCAAAAACAUGGCUUCAUGAAAUUUAAAAAUUAUACAACAUAUAACAUACAUAUAUGAAGUCGGGCCUGCCCAGUGAAUUUAUUUAACGGCCGCGGUACCCUGACCGUGCAAAGGUAGCGCAAUACUUGCCUUAUAAUUGAAGGCUGGAAUGAAUGGUUUGACAAGAAUGUAGCUGUCUCUUUAUAAUUUAAUAGAAUUUUAUCUUAGGAUGAAAAAGUCCUAGUUGAAUUAAAAGACAAGAAGACCCUAUCGAGCUUAAAAUUAAUUAGUAAAAAAUUAAUACUUACAAAAUUGUUAUUAAAAAUUUUGGUUGGGGCAACUAAGGAGCAAAAAAAGCCUCUUUUUAUAAAAUAUACGCAACUAGUAAGGAUCCAAUAAUUUUGAUCAAAGAAAAUAGUUACCGUAGGGAUAACAGCAUUAUCUUUUUUGAGAGCUCUUAUCGAAAAAAAGGUUUGUGACCUCGAUGUUGGACCAGAAUAUCCUAAAGAUGCAGGAGUCUUUAAAGGUUGGUCUGUUCGACCAUUAAAAUUCUACGUGAUCUGAGUUCAGACCGG
rnacentral:rRNA from 1 species